rnacentral:rRNA from 1 species
ACGCACGCUGGCGGCGUGCUUAACACAUGCCAGUCGAACGGAAAGGCCUCUUUCGGGGGGUACUCGAGUGGCGAACGGGUGAGUAACACGUGAGUAACCUGCCCUUGACUUUGGGAUAACUUCAGGAAACUGGGGCUAAUACCGGAUAGGAGCUCCUGCUGCAUGGUGGGGGUUGGAAAGUUUCGGCGGUUGGGGAUGGACUCGCGGCUUAUCAGCUUGUUGGUGGGGUAGUGGCUUACCAAGGCUUUGACGGGUAGCCGGCCUGAGAGGGUGACCGGCCACAUUGGGACUGAGAUACGGCCCAGACUCCUACAGGAGGCAGCAGUGGGGAAUAUUGCACAAUGGGUGGAAGCCUGAUGCAGCAACGCCGUGUGCGGGAUGACGGCCUUCGGGUUGUAAACCGCUUUCGCUCAUGACGAAGCUUUGUGUGACGGUAGUGGGUAAAGAAGCACCGGCUAACUACGUG